rnacentral:rRNA from 1 species
UACGGAGGAUCCGAGCGUUAUCCGGAUUUAUUGGGUUUAAAGGGUGCGUAGGUGGGCAGGUAAGUCAGUGGUGAAAUCUCCGGGCUUAACCCGGAAACUGCCAUUGAUACUAUCAGUCUUGAAUACCGUGGAGGUAAGCGGAAUAUGUCAUGUAGCGGUGAAAUGCUUAGAUAUGACAUAGAACACCAAUUGCGAAGGCAGCUUACUACCCGAAUAUUGACACUGAGGCACGAAAGCGUGGGGAUCAAACAGG